UACGCAAGUAAGUAAGAUCCCUCAAAGACGAUGAGGUAGAUAGGUUCGAGGUGGAAGUGUGGUGACACAUGGAGCUGACGAAUACUAAUCGAUCGAGGACUUAACCAAAA
rnacentral:rRNA from 1 species